rnacentral:rRNA from 1 species
ACUCAAAUGAAUUGACGGGGACCCGCACAAGCGGUGGAGCAUGUGGUUUAAUUCGACGCAACGCGAAGAACCUUACCUGGGCUAGAAUGCCUCUGACAACCCUAGAGAUAGGGCCUUCUGGGUAAAACCAGACAGAGUGCAAGGUGCUGCAUGGCUGUCGUCAGCUCGUGUCGUGAGAUGUUGGGUUAAGUCCCGCAACGAGCGCAACCCUUAUCAAUAGUUGCCAGCGGUUCGGCCGGGCACUCUAUUGAGACUGCCGUUGACAAAACGGAGGAAGGUGGGGAUGACGUCAAGUCCUCAUGGCCUUUAUGUCCAGGGCUACACACGUGCUACAAUGGCCGACACAAAGCGCUGCAAAAGAGCAAUCUGGAGCCAAUCGCAAAAAGUCGGUCUCAGUUCGGAUUGGAGUCUGCAACUCGACUCCAUGAAGUUGGAAUCGCUAGUAAUCGCAGAUCAGCACGCUGCGGUGAAUACGUUCCCGGGUCUUGUACACACCGCCCGU